rnacentral:rRNA from 1 species
CCUACGGGUGGCAGCAGUGAGGAAUAUUGGUCAAUGGACGCUAGUCUGAACCAGCCAAGUAGCGUGAAGGAUGACUGCCCUAUGGGUUGUAAACUUCUUUUAUAUGGGAAUAAAAUGCUCUAUGUAUAGUACUUUGCAUGUACCAUAUGAAUAAGGAUCGGCUAACUCCGUGCCAGCAGCCGCGGUAAUACGGAGGAUCCGAGCGUUAUCCGGAUUUAUUGGGUUUAAAGGGAGCGUAGGUGGAUUGUUAAGUCAGUUGUGAAAGUUUGCGGCUCAACCGUAAAAUUGCAGUUGAUACUGGCAGUCUUGAGUACAGUAGAGGUGGGCGGAAUUCGUGGUGUAGCGGUGAAAUGCUUAGAUAUCACGAAGAACUCCGAUUGCGAAGGCAGCUCACUGGACUGCAACUGACACUGAUGCUCGAAAGUGUGGGUAUCAAACAGGAUUAGAUACCCCGGUAGUC